UGGGGAAUAUUGCACAAUGGGCGCAAGCCUGAUGCAGCCAUGCCGCGUGUGUGAAGAAGGCCUUCGGGUUGUAAAGCACUUUCAGCGAGGAGGAAGGUGGUGAGCUUAAUACGCUCAUCAAUUGACGUUACUCGCAGAAGAAGCACCGGCUAACUCCGUGCCAGCAGCCGCGGUAAUACGGAGGGUGCAAGCGUUAAUCGGAAUUACUGGGCGUAAAGCGCACGCAGGCGGUUUGUUAAGUCAGAUGUGAAAUCCCCGGGCUCAACCUGAGAACUGCAUUUGAAACUGGCAAGCUAGAGUCUCGUAGAGGGGGGUAGAAUUCCAGGUGUAGCGGUGAAAUGCGUAGAGAUCUGGAGGAAUACCGGUGGCGAAGGCGGCCCCCUGGACGAAGACUGACGCUCAGGUGCGAAAGCGUGGGGCAGCAAACAGAUUAGAUACCCUGGUAGUCCACGCUGUAAACGAUGUCGAUUUUGGAGGUUGUGCCCUUGAGGCGUGGCUUCCGGAGCUAACGCGUUAAAUCGACCGCCUGGGGAGUACGGCCGCAAGGUUAAAACUCAAAGGAAUUGACGGGGUCAUAGCUGUUUCCU
rnacentral:rRNA from 1 species